rnacentral:tRNA from 2 species
GCGUCCUGGCGGGCGGCGUCGAGUGUGGCGCCCAGGUUGUCACCGACGACGACGCCGCCGGAGGUUCGGGCCUCCAGGUUGCG